UACGUAGGGACCAAGCGUUGUUCGGAUUUACUGGGCGUAAAGGGCGCGUAGGCAGCGCGGUAAGUCACUUGUGAAAUCUCUGAGCUUAACUCAGAACGGCCAAGUGAUACUGCAGUGCUAGAGUGUGGAAGGGGCAAUCGGAAUUCUUGGUGUAGCGGUGAAAUGCGUAGAUAUCAAGAGGAACACCUGAGGUGAAGACGGGUUGCUGGGCCAACACUGACGCUGAGGCGCGAAAGCCAGGGGAGCAAACGGG
rnacentral:rRNA from 1 species